rnacentral:rRNA from 1 species
UGGGGAAUAUUGGACAAUGGACCAAAAGUCUGAUCCAGCAAUUCUGUGUGCACGAUGACGUUUUUCGGAAUGUAAAGUGCUUUCAGUUGGGAAGAAAAAAAUGACGGUACCAACAGAAGAAGUGACGGCUAAAUACGUGCCAGCAGCCGCGGUAAUACGUAUGUCACAAGCGUUAUCCGGAUUUAUUGGGCGUAAAGCGCGUCUAGGUGGUUAUGUAAGUCUGAUGUGAAAAUGCAGGGCUCAACUCUGUAUUGCGUUGGGAACUGCAUGACUAGAGUACUGGAGAGGUAAGCGGAACUACAAGUGUAGAGGUGAAAUUCGUAGAUAUUUGUAGGAAUGCCGAUGGGGAAGCCAGCUUACUGGACAGAUACUGACGCUAAAGCGCGAAAGCGUGGGUAGCAAACAGGAUUAGAUACCCUGGUAGUCCACGCCGUAAACGAUGAUUACUAGGUGUUGGGGGUCGAACCUCAGCGCCCAAGCUAACGCGAUAAGUAAUCCGCCUGGGGAGUACGUACGCAAGUAUG